rnacentral:rRNA from 1 species
AUUGAACGCUGGCGGCAUGCUUUACACAUGCAAGUCGAACGGCAGCGCGGGCUUCGGCCUGGCGGCGAGUGGCGAACGGGUGAGUAAUGCAUCGGAACGUGCCCAGUAGUGGGGGAUAGCCCGGCGACAGCCGGAUUAAUACCGCAUACGACCUGAGGGUGAAAGCGGGGGACCGACAGGCCUCGCGCUAUUGGAGCGGCCGAUGUCGGAUUAGCUAGUUGGUGGGGUAAAGGCUUACCCAGGCGACGAUCCGUAGCUGGUCUGAGAGGACGACCAGCCACACUGGGACUGAGACACGGCCCAGACUCCUACGGGGGGCAGCAGUGGGGAAUUUUGGACAAUGGGGGCAACCCUGAUCCAGCCAUGCCGCGUGCGGGAAGAAGGCCUUCGGGUUGUAAACCGCUUUUGUUCGGGAAGAAAUCCUCUGGGCUAAUACCCCGGGGGGAUGACGGUACCGGAAGAAUAAGCACCGGCUAACUACGUG